rnacentral:rRNA from 1 species
GGUCACUGCUAUCGGGGUUCGAUUAAGCCAUGCGAGUCGAGAGGGUUCGGCCCUCGGCGUACUGCUCAGUAACACGUGGAUAACCUGCCCUAAGGAAGGGGAUACCCCCGGGAAACUGGGGAUAAUACCCUAUAGGUUACCAAUGCUGGAAUGCUUGGUAACCGAAAGUUCCGGCGCCUUAGGAUGGAUCUGCGGCCGAUUAGGUUGUUGUCGGGGUAACGGCCCAACAAGCCAGUAAUCGGUACGGGUUGUGGGAGCAAGAGCCCGGAGUUGGAUUCUGAGACACGAAUCCAGGCCCUACGGGGCGCAGCAGGCGCGAAAACUUUACAAUGCGGGCAACCGUGAUAAGGGAACCUCGAGUGCCUGUAUAUGCAGGCUGUCUGAGUGUCUAAAUCACACUCAAAGAAAGGGCCGGGCAAGACCGGUGCCAGCCGCCGCGGUAAUACCGGCGGCUCGAGUGGUGGCCACUUUUAUUGGGCUUAAAGCGUUCGUAGCUGGGUUAUUAAGUCCCUUGGGAAAUCCGGCGGCUUAACCGUCGGGCGUCUAAGAGAUACUGGUAAUCUUGGAACCGGGAGAGGUGAGGGGUACUUCGGGGGUAGGAGUGAAAUCCUGUAAUCCUCGAGGGACCACCUGUGGCGAAGGCGCCUCACCAGAACGGCUUCGACAGUGAGGGACGAAAGCUGGGGGAGCAAACCGGAUUAGAUACCCGGGUAGUCCCAGCCGUAAACGAUGUGCGUUAGGUGUGUCGGUGACCACGAGUCACCGAGGUGCCGAAGGGAAACCGUGAAACGUACCGCCUGGGAAGUACGGUCGCAAGGCUGAAACU